GAAGACUUGUGGCUGCCCUGCGAUGGACAGGUGCCCCGUCCAGCCACCCGCCCCGCCUUGUGCCCGCUGCCUGCUGGGAUAGGCUCCCGCUGCCCCGUGACCCCGAAUUGGCUACAGCGGUUGGGAAAGGGAAAGGAAUCGUAUCGAUGAAAGCUGGGUUUCAUUUUUUCUCUCCCCGGUGCUGUAAUUUGCAAAGCAAAGAGCUCCAACAGCCCCUUCGCACAGCGUGUGUCCGGUGGGGCGUGCUGUGGACGCAGAGCUGGCGAACUGGACUCGGCUCUGAUCAACUCCGCUCGGGCCCCUUCGAAUGUGGCUUCCCCUGCUGCUGGGAGGGACGAGCCCAGGGCCAGCUCGUCUCCUGAAGGCAGGGGGUGACUGUCUGCUGUCUCAUGGCUGACCAGAGGCAUGGGUCUUCUUCAGCGCUCUUCAGUUCUGCCAGGACUCCGGUCCGCGACUUGUCGCGAAGCGCCGGGAAAGGGAUUGUGGGUUUGCACGGGGGAGCAGGGCGACGAGGCAGAGGGGGCUGCCGGGCCGAAGGAGCGAGAGCAGUCUCCUCCGUGGGGCGCCAGCGUGGGCCUGUGCGUCUCACACCAGGCUGCUGAACCCGGCCAGCUGAGGGUCUCCAGAGAAGCCCGGGGACACAGCAGCAGUGGAAGAGCGAGCCCGAGGCAGCGGAGAUCUCCAGCACGGGCAGAGUCGCUGCACGGCCUGCAGACAUGACAAGGUGGUUCAACAGACCCCCUGGUCCCCAGCACCAUUCCCAGACACGCUGCCAGGAAUGCCGAGACCACUCCAAUAAUCAAGCCGGAUCCCAGAGGAGAAACAGCGCGGAAGCCCAGCCCGAGGACCUCGAUCGCAUCGUCCGUCCGAGAAACCUUUCAUGUUCAGGACAAAGUACCACCAGUACGCUAAAAGUAGGUUCAUUCAUCAGGUUGUUUUUAUUAAAGAGUAGGGUUAAAAACAGACCGGCUGGAUGAAACACGUAGAGCUCCCGAGUCCCACAUUCUUUCUGUAUGGGAAUGACACUGGCAGGGGGAGGAGGUAGGAGGGGAAAAAAAAUAAAAUAAGGAAAGUGUCUCCCCCAGUUCAACUAGU